rnacentral:rRNA from 1 species
UACGGAGGGUGCAAGCGUUAAUCGGAAUUACUGGGCGUAAAGGGUGCGUAGGUUGUUUUUUAAGUUAUCUGUAAAAUCCCUGGGCUCAACCUGGGCAAGUCAGAUAAGACUGAAGGACUCGAGUAUGGGAGAGGGUAGUGGAAUUUCCGGUGUAGCGGUGAAAUGCGUAGAGAUCGGAAGGAACACCAGUGGCGAAGGCGGCUACCUGGCCUAAUACUGACACUGAGGCACGAAAGCGUGGGGAGCAAACAGG